GUAAAGGUCACAGGAAAUGAGUUUGGCUAUAUAGAGUGCUUGGUCCCUAGGACUAUCUUCCAACUCUGGCAACAUGAAUACUAUCAUCAUCAAUAUUUCCUUCACUGAUCUUACAAUAGCCCAGUCUGAUGUUACCCACAAUAAGUUCCUUGGACCAGUAAAGUCUGUGAAUGAGAAAAGCCUAUUAGCAAAUUCCAGCCCAGAAAGGCAUCUCAAUCCUCUAGGAGCAAGACUCCAUCAAUAUUAAAUGGGAUGUUGCUGUUUCCAAAUCUUUUAUAUAGUCUCCUGGCAUCUUCACCACCUUAGAGAAAGUUGUGGCUUAUUUAAAGAAUGGAACCAAAAGAUUUAUCAUCUCUGCCUUUUCUGCUGAUGUCAGUGAUUCAUACAGAUCAUGAGAAAACACUCUUAAGAUUGCGAACAUGCCUCUUUAACUACCAAUUGCUUAGGCCUCAUGGGAAAAGUCAUCAUGACAAUUUUGGUAUUAUUGAGGGACUCUUGACCACAGUCCUAGCCUUCACUGACACCUUGAAAAGUUUGGAUAGCCCUGAUGACGGGGACUACUCAGAACAUGAUCACUGAAUCCACUGGCCUGGAUAUUGCUUUACGCAAGAUCAUUCAAGAACUGAAUGGGAAACUCCCAAAAUGUCUGCCAUGGAUCUCACCUGAUACGUGAAGAAGGCUGCCCAGUAUGACUAUAUCAAGAAGGUGGAGAAACAAGCACCACAGAGCUCUCUAAGGGACAUUCUCAGCUAUACUGAGGACCAGGUUGUCUCCAGAAAUUUUAACAGUGACACUUACUCCUCCAUCUUUGAUACUGGGGCUGGAAUUGCCCUCUAAGACAACAUAGUCAAGUUGAUUUCUGUGCAUGGCAAUGAAUUUAGCUAAAGCAACAGUGCGGUAGACUUCACAAUUCAAAUGGUAUUCAUGGAAUAAAAAGCC
rnacentral:lncRNA from 1 species